rnacentral:tRNA from 1 species
GCUCGCUGGUUGGUUUGUCGGUCACGGGAAUGCCUCGGUCGUUUUGCGAUGUUCAGUGUCGGGAGCGUCAGUGUGUGCUAUUCCCACAGCGAAGU